AUGGAGGACGAUGGCCAUCCCGACCCCUACCUUGAUCUUCGCCCUGAAAUCGCCGAGGAGCGGCGGCGCGCUGCUAGACUCGCUCUUGAGCGCCGCCGCCAGCACCGCGAAACCGCUCCUUGUCUGCUCUCGCCGCCGGCUCCCGUCGCCAUGGACGGCGUUGCUCCUCUCGUCUCGUUCCUUGAUCUUCACCCUGAACUCGCCGAGGAGCGGCGGCGCCCCGAACCGUCCUCUUCCCAUAAAACCGAGGUUGAGGAGCAUGCUAGCGAGGUUAGUAGCAGUGAGGGCUCUGUAACUGUGGAUCUGUCAGAAUCCACUGCCCUAGCACUGAAUGACAUGCCUCGUACACUUCAGUCGACCUAUUGGUCCAAUUUGUGUUAUGAUACUGGCAGCAGCGAGACUGAGUCGGAAACUGUGGUAGGGAAGCCCGAAGAAGAAUCAGAUUUUGAUUUGGAGAAGGAACUGCAAGAAAUGGAGGAUUACUUGCAAGAGAAUACGUGCAACACUAUAAGCGAAGGGAUGGAUAAGAUUUUAGCUGUUGAGCGUUCCACUCUAGCUGCUAAGUACGACAAUAUGUCAGCUGCUGAGUAUGCUGAUAUGACUGCUCGAUCUUCCUACUUUAGUAAGAGGCUACCUCCCCUAUGGUGGCUGUCUUCGCCAGCUGAUUCAGAAACGGAGUCACUUCAGGCAACAGAGCAAGCUUCGAGGAAUGAACCAUCGCGGCAGUGUCUGCUACGCCGACAACCAAGGUGUGAAGUUCCUGACGAAGAGAUUAUUCAAAAUGGGAAAAACUGGAUGACUAAGGAGGUGAUGUUGGCAUUCGAAAAAUAUGCUGAAAGAAGUACUAAUCUCACGGAUCUUGACUGGCAGAUUGAGGAAAUUUGUCACCAAUGCUUUAAUGUGGAAUACUAUCACAAAGUUUUCCACCAUUACAAUUUCACUGUAAUGAUUGAGAGCCCUAGGUCAAGUGAUUCCAGAGUGGCAUUGUUCUUCGCCGAAGUGAAAGAGAUAUUCGGAAGAAAAUACUAUUUCUGCUGCCCUCUAGAACCAAAUGAAAAUGGUCAGUGUUAUGCAUGCCAUAACCAAGGAUUUGAUGAUCUAAGGCAUCCAGCUACAGGUGGAUAUGACUAG
rnacentral:rRNA from 1 species